CUGUUCCAGAAGUGCAAAAUGGGAACCAAAACUCUUCACUUCCUUCUCUGAACAGACAUUUUUGAAUCUGUUCUGCUGCUAUACCUCAGACAAGGGACCUUUUGAACAAAUCACCCAAGGGGCAAGAAGGAGAAUCAAAAUGGAGGAGUACAUGAAAAAAACAACAACCGCAACAAAACCCUACAUGUGCAUUGACAUCGGAAGAUAAUGUUUCAUGCAUAUUAAAAGAGGAAUUGCAAUAUGAUGUAACAAACACGGAGUUAUACACUAGAUGUCAUUACCGCUGCACUAAGACA